GGUCACGUGCCGCGGGGCGGGCGGGGAGUCCCGGCACGUGCCGAGCGCGCUCACGUGACCAGGCGCGGGCGGUGCUGAGGGGCGCGGCGCCCCGCGGCGGGGACAGCGCCCCGGGCCCGGCGCUCAGCGGGCACCGCGGCGGGGCCCGGCCUCGAGGGGCUCGUUCCUCACAGCGUCGGCUCAGAGCACCCGGCAGGGGAAGGAACUCACCCUCCGCCUGCCCCGGAGGCGGUGCUCCGGUGCCUCCGCCCCUCGCCGGCUGUCCAGUCCCGCAGCGGCCGCUCGCACCGGAGCCACGGCCUGGCCUUGCUUCGCCACGCCCGGUCCCUUCCCCUUGCGCCGGCCACCGGGGCAUUCGGGCUUUCCGCCGCCUCCCGCUGCCCCGCCAUGCCGUCCAACAAAUCCGUCUCGGACGCGCCCAUCGUCCAGUUCACCAACUGCCGCAUCCUGAGGGACCACCAGCUCCAGAGGGAGGACCUGUGGGUGCGAGAGGGGAAGAUCCUCAACCCAGAGAAACUCUUCUUUGACGAAAAGGGCUCCGCUGAUGUCCAGCUGGACUGCAAGGACAGCAUCAUUGCCCCAGGAUUCAUUGAUGUCCAGAUCAAUGGAGGCUUCGGGGUGGACUUCUCUCUGGCUACGGAUGACUUCAAAUCAGGUAUUGACCUGGUCAGUCAGAAGAUCCUCUCCCAUGGAGUGACCUCUUUCUGUCCUACCCUGGUGACCUCUCCUCCAUCUGUGUACCACCAGAUUCUCCCUCAGAUCAGUGUAAGAAAUGGUGGAGCCCAUGGAGCAGGAAUUCUGGGAGCCCACCUGGAAGGGCCGUUCAUCAGCAAAGAGAAGAAGGGUGCCCACCCGGAGCACUGCCUCCGCACCUUUGAGGCAGGUGCUUUCCAGGACCUGCUUGCUACCUAUGGCUCCCUGGACUGUGUCCAGAUAGUGACCCUGGCCCCUGAAAUGAGGAGGAGCAGUGAGGUGAUCCGGGAGCUCACCAAGCGGGGCAUCUGCGUCUCCCUGGGUCACUCAGUGGCUAAUCUGUCCCAGGCCGAGGAGGCUGUGCAGCAUGGAGCAACCUUCAUCACUCACCUCUUCAAUGCCAUGCUGCCGUUCCACCACCGUGACCCUGGCAUUGUGGGGCUGCUGACAAGUGACAAGAUUCCGGCUGGGCGGAGGGUCUUCUAUGGCAUGAUUUCUGAUGGCAUCCACACCAACCCCGCUGCCCUGCGCAUUGCCCACCGAGCCCACCCCAAAGGGCUGGUGCUGGUGACAGAUGCAAUCGCUGGCAUGGGGCUGGCACCGGGUCGGCACACACUGGGUCAGCAGGUGGUGGAGAUCGAUGGGCUGAACACCUACAUCGCAGGCACAAAGACCCUGAGUGGCAGCGUGGCAACCAUGGACACUUGUGUUCGACACUUCCAAGAAGCCACAGGGUGCUCGGUAGAGACCGCGUUGGAGGCGGCGUCUCUGCAUCCCGCUCAGCUCCUGGGGAUUGAACAUAAAAAGGGGACACUGAAUUAUGACUCUGAUGCAGGCUCCCCAAGGUGUGUUCCAGGAGGAGCUGGAGUGGUGCAUUUCACAACUGGAGGCAGAUCUCCAUCUCACUCCACACCCCAAACUAGUCCACUUUGUAGAGCUGCAGACACAUGUCCUGCUGCUGGUCAGUACCUAACAUUGGAAGAGGAUUGUGAACCCCAUGUAAGAUGCUCAGGAACAUCUCACAGUAUUUGAGCUUCUGGAAGCACUUGGAGUUUCUUUUCAAUUGAAUGGUAGUUAUGGUGGUAUGAACACAGAGUACAUUAAGAGAAGAGUCAGUCAUCAGCGUCCCAUAGUGUGGAUUUUAAGGCCCACUGUAAACUGCUUCUUGUCUCUCCUGAUGUUUUCUGAGUGGAGCAGAAGAGACCCAACACAUUUUCAAGGUCCUGCACUCCCCUGAGACUCCUCUUGCAGAGAAACAGCAAGUGAUGAGCAAUGAGUUUGGGGAUUGUCAUCUCAAAAUGGAUGAGGGUCAGAAGAGCAUGGAGAAAGGCAUGACCCCUGAUGUUGUGGAAGUACAGCCAAGCAAGGGGCAGGCUGCAGAUGGUGUGAAACAAUCUGACCCACCCCCUGAGGUAAAGCCAGAGUUGUUCACAUCGUCUGGCAGCAGUUUCCGAUUUGAUUUUACGCUUUCCAAGACUGACCCAGAAGCUGAUCCUGGUGACAGUGGUGCUGAGCAGGUACAAAACAAUGUCAGAGCCACUAAGCAGGAGAACUGGAAUGGCGCCUUGAGUUUUGCUGCCUCUGGACAAGAACCCAAGUUUGCUUUCAACUUUGCCAUCCCAGAUGAAGACUGUCCUCAUCUUCAGUUACUUCCAGCGAGCCAACAUACAGAGCACACAGCAGAUGCUUCACUGCCUGCUGAAUCAGCAGCUCUGCCAGAGGCUGCAGCCUUGCAGAAGACUGAGGUGACAGGGAAUGCACCCAAAGAGGAUAGAAGCCAUGUCACAUCAAAGAUCCCCCAAACAGAGACAGCCCCUUCAGAUGAGGCAAUGAGAGAAAAAUCAACAGGAGGUGGAGCUGCCCAGAAGAAGAAAAAGAAGAAACAAAAAACACCUGUCAGUAAAAACAAAACAGAAGAAACUGAGACCAGCAGGAUGACAAAGGCAGAAGCUAACAGCUCUCAAAAUACAGAUACUUCCCAUCAGGAUGAGAAGACCUCUCAGCAGUCAGAUGAGCAGCUGUGGAAAGAGGUGGACUGGUGUGUGAACCAGCUGGAACUCGGCUUGAAGACACAGAAACCCACUCCAAAGCAGGCUGAGGAGGCUCUCAGGGCAAUCAGGACACUGCGCAGUGAGAAGGCUCCACUGGUGAAGAAGCGUCAGCUCAUGAGAGCCAUGUUUGGAGACUACAGGAAAAAGAUGCAGGAGGAGCUGUGCAGAGAGCUGAAGCUUAUGGAAACAGCUGCAAAAUCUGCCAGGAUCGUGGAGUUGAAGGGAAGCAUCCACAAGAAGAAUGGUCAGUUCAUCCGCAAGUGCUUGGGAGCUUGCAGGAAAAGCCAAGGUUCAGCAGAAUCCCCUUCAGAGUCACACAGGACACUUAACACAGGCUUAUUCAAUUCCACAACUCCCCAAGAAUUUCGCUUUAAUUUCUUCUAGAAAAGUGACUUUGACUAAAAGUGUGCCAGAUCUCCUGUAAAGUGAAGAAUGGUGGAAAAGUGCUGUGCAGUAGGAAAUGUCGUGCAUGAAUCUCUGGAUCUUCUUCCAGGGUGCCUUAUCUAGAAGUUUAAACCAGAUCUGCCUGUUAUGCAUAUGACCCCAAAACUCAGCAUACAUAAUUGUGUGCUCCUCUGUGCUCACGCUGGAAAGAGGCGCCUUUGAAAAGGUCAGCAGUGUGGAAGGAUCUGCUUUCUUUCCUGUAGAAUUGACAUCAACUAUAGAAUCUGUCUUCUAUACCAUGAGAUUUUCCCUUUCUCCCAUUGCUUUUAAAUAGAGCAGAGCCUUUCUAGCAGCUGAGGUGGCAAUGCAUAUGGCAGGGAAUGGUUUGGAAUCAAGAUCCAGAGCAGUGGAUAGCUGGGUGCUCCCACUCCCCAAGUCUGUGUGAAUGCAGCUUCUGGCAUCCAACAGAUACCAGCAGUGUGUCAUCCCUGACAUGGAGGAGCACGAGCUCAGGGUCUUUGGAGAAAAGUGAAUGAGACCCAUUUUUGCUCAUUCAUCUCUUUCACUGACAGGUGCAGACCUAGAAUAAAACUGCACAUCAUGAUUUAAUCCAGCCUAGAGAUGUAAAGAGAGUUGUUUCUAGGAAAACAGGGAAAAAUUUUGUUGCUGAAGCCAGGUUCUGGACAGCUAGGAAAUAUGUACAAUCAGCUCUUAAAUAAAGUUAACUUCAUAAGUAGCUCAGUUACAACCACUAGUGCCUCAGAAGGAAAAUUAGCUGCAUGCCAGCCUUGGGUGGUGGUAAAAUAAACUGUCACAGCCCAAAGACUCUCUUCCAUUUGAUUUGUAUUAAAUUUUGGCUUUUUUAAUGUGUGUCUCCAGUCAAUACUGCUUGAGUACUGAAGCCAUCUCUUAAGUUCAUGCAGGAGGUUUUUCCCACCAAGGGUAAAAAAACACUGAAGGAAGAGAAGUGCUGUGAAAGGCUACAUGCUAUCAGGUAUCCCUAGGGAGCAGUGCUUUCCUGCCUUUUAUAGUCCAGUUGGCCUGUGUGAAAAGUGGGAAAUAGUGGGAGUGCUGAGAGCAGCUGAGAGAUGGUGAAAAACAUUGGCUGUGAAAGACAAAAACCUGAUUGUUGCUCUAAAAAAUUGAUUUUAUUACUAAGCUCUGAUGGCAGGCAGUUGCAUUUGCAAUACUUCUUAAUUUCUUUUAAAUUAAAAAAUUUUAAAAGAAUAUUUUAAAGAAUUCCUGUCUGGGCAUAAGAAACUGAACCUGGAUAACAUAUAUGAUGAGGAGAAACAGGUAACAUAUAUGAUGAAGAGAAACAUGGAGAAAUGAAUUUGUCUUUUGGAAGUCAGUAGAUGAAAACUGGAAAUCGAGGUUGGCACACUUUAUUUGCCAAGGAGCACAGCUGUUACUUUGAAUGUGUAGAACAAUCUUAGACAGUAUUUUUUUUUAAUUUCCAGGAUUUUACAUUCAGCAUACAAAAGCUGUGUCCUUGACAUGCUUUUCAUGUUUUCACGCUGUUUACUGAGAUUCAAGAGCAUUGUCUACAUGACCUUGGAGCUACAGCUGUUUGCUUCCCUGGCUGGUUAUGCAGGAGAUGUCUAGGAGGUAGUUAUUUUUUUCGUUGUCAUGUCUCAGGUAAAGCUAGAGCUGCCAAAACAUUAUAAAAUCCUUGCUGUAGAAAGCUGCAGAAGUAUUCUGGAGAGCAUUCUUAUAUAAUUGCAUCAUGUUCAUGCUGCUCAUUAGGCAUUCACAAUUAAAUCAAAGAUACCAGUGAGGUGGACGUUUGGUGUAACCUGAUCCAGCACUUAUCUUCAAAAGGGUCAGAGAAAACUCCAUUCUAAAAUGAGAACAAUUCCUGUGGUUUUCCAGAGAUCUAAAUAAUGCUGACCUGUAAAACCAGUUCCUUUUUCUUUUUCUGUUCCUUCAUUACUGGAAGAUUUAAUAUAUGUGUUUGGGAAGGCAGAUGUUCAUCAGUGUGAUACAUCGUGCCAUGUCGGCUCGGGUCCGCGACUCAGCCGUGGAAUCUUAGACAAAGCAUUUUGCCUUUUUCUGUCUACUCCCUGUGUUUGUAGUCAAGGUGAUGCCUCCUGAGUUUUUGACAGAUGUGCCCAAGUCACUUCACUAGUGAUCGUAUCUUGAAGAGGUGUCUGAAACUACAGCAGUCUGUACUUCACCUUUAAGCUUUGCUGUAUUAUAUUUGUUUGAAAAGAAGCAAGCAAUGAUAUUAGAAGUUAGGAAAUGCCAUGGCUCCUUCACCCAUCCUUUUCCCCUUUUACAGGGGCCACAGUGCAGUCUUAGUAAUGUUUUUUAAACGCUGUGUUUUCCCCUUUUAGCAUUUCUUUAGGAUUUCAGUGCUAUUUAGGGUUUCAGUGAUGUCUCUUCUUACAGCAGUGUCGGGUUGGGAUCAGGGUUUUGCUCUACUAGUAACUGUAACACCUAUGGCUGGAGGUUUGGUCUAUGCCCCAAGGCAUUAAUGAUGUAUAGCAGCGAGGAGGAAGGGAGAUACUCUGAUCUACCUGGACAUCUCUGACCCACUGUUCUUGCUUUAAGGAAUGUAUCUCAGUUUUGAUAAAAAGUUGAGCUCAAUUCUGACCUGCCUGUUUCUGCAUCCUCUCCUCAGCUUUGUGCCUGGCUUUUGAGUUUGGUGCCACCAGGGUGACUGGACUGGGAAUACUGUAUCUCUUUGCUGAUUUGCCCCCUAAAUGUAGAGCAGCAGUGCCAGGCCCAGGCUUGUAGGCAGCAAAUUGCUUACAGAAGUAUCCAGCACAGCUGUGAGCUCAGGAAUGAAUAAAAGACAAGGCAAAAGGGGAUGGGAAGUACCACAGUGCUUCUAGAUCAAAACCUGCUUCACAGCAUCAGUCUUGGAGACCUAGAAGCUGAGGAUCAUCUUCUAAAGAGAACAGGGGGUUACAGGAACACUGUAACUUAUCUCAGACCAUUCACUGUAGCAAAGCAGGGGAUAUGUCUCACUUUUGGGAACAAAGUGAAGAAUUUUAGGGUUAUUUCUGUGGCAGGGUGAGGCCAAAAAUACACACAGAGGCAGCAGAAAUCUGGGUGUGAUCUCUGCUCCUUUUAGGCUUCUGUAAACAGAUCCCCUGAGAAAAGGUUAGGAAAUGCAAUCCCAUUCCAGACAGACUCUGCCUUCAAAUGGAGACCCUGCCUUCAGGGGAUGGCCUGCCAGCCCCCUCACAGGCUGGCCCUUGUCCCAGUUGUCAUUUUGGCUGUUACCCUGGACACUGAACAUUCAUCAGACAUUUGUCCAACCCCUUCUCCUGAGCUUAGUCAGUUGAAAUGCAUUUACUUCUCUUUGGGCUGCCCUUCUCUGAGUAACCAGGGGCCACAGUCACCAAGGAAUCGCCCACAAAGAAUCUUCAAGGGAUCCGUACAGAGUUCAGCUGGAAUUAUUUUCAGAAUCCCAGCAGGGACUUCCUCUCUCAAGACCAGAAAGAAGCCAACAUUGGUCCUGCUGAUCCUAUGGUUGAGGUGACUGAUGUUACCUUGUCUCACUUUGGUUUUCUAGAUGCUGAGACUGUGGACUUAGCAUCCAAACACUCCUAAAGGAUAACACAUUCUCUUCAUUUGGGGAGGGAAAUCCUAACUUUUCUUUGAAUUAGGAAGAGGAAGAAUUUACCAUUUCAGGAAAGACAUCAACUGGAACAUUCUAACAGAAGGAAAGUUAAAGAUCAAUUAACCUGCAGCUCCAUAACAUAAAAAGAGGAGAGAUGCUGCUAUUUUAAGACCAUACAGAACUGUGCCAGAUGAUCUUGUAUUUUUCUGCUGCUUAAAAUUUUUCUGCUGCUUACUGUUUCUGCUGUUUUCAUCUUUAGAACUGUGGAAUGUUUGUAAGACAUGCUACUUUAGAAAAUCCAGCAGUGACAUCCCCAGUCAUUUGAUUCCUGGCACCAGUCCUCCUGUGCAUGCUGGCAGCUGGGAGUUCUGACUACUAGCAUUUGAUCCAUGGUUUGGUCCAUUUGGCUUAUUCCAAGUACAUCAUCAGGCAUGACCAGCUCCUGGUAUCUCACCACCAUAAGGGAAGCAGUCUGGGUUGCUUAUCUCCCAUUAUCAUCAUGCUUGUUCUAAUGAAACAAAACCCAGAUGUGGAAGAAGCCAGGAAGGAGAGGAAAAGCAAACUGUCCCUGCCACCCUCUUCUUCCCCCAGUAAUGUUGGUAAACAACUGGAGUAACCUCAAGAAGAGCUGGAUAAGUAUCUGGAGAAGCUAAACCAUGUCUUCUUUGGCACAGAAGCCAGAAAAAGGUAUGGCCACCAUGAUCAGAAGUCCCUCCAUUGCAGAAGCACAGAUGUUGUGUCAGAAACUAAGAAAUACUCAGGAAGGGAGGUGGGACGUUCUCAGCAUCUGUCAGGCUACACAAAAGUUCAGGUAGGAGACUUAAAAUGAAUGUCAGACUCAACCCAAGGUAGAGUUCUUGGCUAAGGUGGUUAAUCCUGGCUGAUAUAGUGAAUCCUGAUGAAAUGCAUAGUCCGUGAACUUGGAGGGGGAAGAGGUGGGAGGAAGUCUUGCUAUUUUGAAGGUAAUGCAUUCCUAUUUUUGCACUGCUUAAUUCAACAAUACACAGUCUUCCAGAGAGA